rnacentral:tRNA from 1 species
GGUUUCUUGGCGCAGUUGGUCAGCGCGUCUCCUUAACAAGCCUUGUCCCGCGUGGAUGUACGACUGGUUCAUCGGAGGAGGUCCUCAGUUCGAGCCUGGGAGAGAUCA